rnacentral:lncRNA from 1 species
AUGGGAUUCUCCAGGCAAGAAUACUGGAGUGAGUUGCUAUUUCCUUCUCCAGUGGAUCUUCCUGACCCAGGAAUGGAACCCCCGUCUCCUGUAUUACAAGCAGACUCUUUACCAACUGAGCUACGAGGGCAACAUAAACUGCUGCUUUUGCUGCAACCCCUGUUUCCAACCACUACCACUCAGCCGACUCCUAUGAAAAUGGUUUCCAAGAGGAGUCUGUUGGAAACAGACUGAGCAGUUAACAUCAGCACCAAAUAACUGCCGCCUGUCUGGGAGAGACCCAGCAAUAAGGUGGGGACAGCAUGUGUGGAAACGUGAGAGCCCUGGUAGCCAGUCCAAACAUUGCAGACAAGUUUUGUGAGCGAGGGUUCUCUGAACACCAUUUGCCAAAAUGGCCCACAUUCUUGUAGGCACAGAUCUAGGCUCAAGUUAUGAAACAAAUAAUACAAGGGUGGCUUGCUAGAAGGGGCUCCAGGAUAUUGUGAGCGGGUGGGCCAGAGGGAACUGGGCCUUCUGGCUGUUCAUUUCUUUCCAGCUGCUACUAACAGCCUCUAAUGUUACAUACAUUCUUUUCUCUCCCAAUCUAGAAGAGAACCUGGAGACCAGCUUCUGCAAGUCAUGCCCACGUCUGUGCUAAAUGUCAACCGCAGCACUGUGGGAAGCACAGGCUGCUGCUUUUGGUGAAGGCCUCCAGAGGACAGUGCCCAGACAAUCUCUGUGACCCAUUCUAGUUCAACCGUUGUCCAGUCUUUAGAAGUGGGCCUCACAAUAACCUUAAGAUACCACCUUAGCAAUUUGUGUUUAUUCCUUCUGGCUCCUACUGAUUAGAGGUAGGGAAUAGCCACUCACCAAGUUCUCCACUUAAAAUCAUGCUUUGAAAUACUUGAUAAAUGCAUCUCGUUAACCUAUACUUAUCUAGACCUAAUAAUUUAAAAAACAUUUUAUGUACUCACUUGAUUAUAAUCUUCAACUCAUGUAAUCCCUGCUACCUGAUCCCCAGCUCUUCAAUCCAGUCCCCUAAAAAAAUAAAAAAAUAAACCACCCCUGCA